CAAAGGUCAAAGCCAAGCUUCCGGCGGGCCGGGGAGCCCACACCCAGGGCAGGAGGGAGGGGUUAGGGCCGGCCGGGGCCGAAUUGGGCCCCCAGGGCGGAAUCGCGCCGUGGAGAGCAAAGCCUCUGUCAUCUAAUCGAGAACCAGAUUAAGAGCCGAGGAGGAAAAAAAGGCAAGAAGGCAUUCUUCAGAUUGGAGGAAUCUAACUCAACACCCAUCUCCUUGCCAGUGGCCAAGGACACUGGUUCUUUUCAAGGCACCUCUGGACCACCUCAGCCCUUGGAUUUAUGCGGUCACUAGAAAGGUCUAGAAAGUCAAAGGUCAGGAAGAGGCAUCCUGUGUCUGGUGAGGGACUAGCCUGUUCAGAGCCCUCCAUGGGGACAAGAACACAAUAAGCUACCCGGUUUGUAAGAGAACGCCCCGCCGGACUGCCUACUCGAGUUUUUGGAGGGCUGAGGUGUAGAUGGUCCCCACACAAAAGGAGACUUUGGAAAACAGCGUGGGUGUCUUGGCCCAGCGAGGCCCGCGCGGCCGGUGUUUGCCGAACAACCCUCUCCGAAAGGUGCCCAAAGCUGUGCACGCCGGCGGCGGGCGCUCGUCCCUGGCCCAGGGCAGCUGUUCCCAUUUCGUCCCCGCCUCCCCGCCCCCGGCCCCCAGCCCCUCGUAUUCCUUUAACGCCUGCUGCCGACUGCAUCCCUGCCGCCCUUAAUGCAGGAUGGGCCCUUCACUUCAGCCUCCAAAUGAGAAGUGACAUUUGCACUCGGCCCAGCCAACGCGUGAGCAGAGCGCGGGGACACAGGCCCAUUGACGGAGGGCGGCCGAGGGGCCGGCGGGCUCGGCGUCACCCGAAGCCGCCUUAAUUAAUACCAUCUUAAAUAGUCCAGCAGCCAGCGAAGACAAAGUUGAAGAAAGACUUUAAGGCUGAGUGCCCCCUCGACAAGCUCUUUUUCCCCAUGUCAUUCAAUAUUUAAUGCGCCCGCUUCUAAUGCUACUACUGGUGUUCCUUUCUCAGCACGGACAUUAUUUUUUCACGGUACCCAUAGCCAGGGAAAGCCCUUUAGGCAAAGAAAAUCAAAAUGUUUGUUGUUUGGGAUGACUUAUAACUCUUGUUUAACACAAGCACUUUCAGGAAAGUGUAACAGGCGCAGCCUCCAAAGCAAACAACACAAUCCUUGUGACAGAGUCGGACACAAAAAGCACAUUGUCUUGCGGGCUCCCUCUUUUCUCUGGUGCUAGAUGGGGGCCUGUCUCUCAGUGAACGCCACGAUGCCAUUUCACUUUUGAACUAUUGUUUUUGAGUUAUGCCAUGUGGUCAAAAGGAGCGAGAAGGGGGUUGUUUCCAGGCUCAUAAGACAAACGAGUUGCCUUUUCAUUGAAAUCCCCCCGCGAGCCUUGAAAACGGAGUUUAAAUGUCACCUCCGCCUUUCUAAUGGGCGCAGGGCUGGAGGCGACCCUUCAAAGCGCCUGGGUGAUAAACGACCCUUAUUAAAUAUGGCCCGGGCCGCUGGGAACGUCCCAGGCCCGGCCCGCGCGCGGGAGAGCGCCCCUCGCUGGAGUGCCCGGGUGAGGCCGGAGCUUCCCCGGCCGCCGGGGGUGGGGGGCCCGGGCCUGCGCUCAGGGGUCGGCGUUGGGUGGGGGUGGGGACCGAGGAUGGGGGCCGUUGUAAGACAACUUAUUAUCUGCCGCCCCCAUCCCGCCCGGUGUGCCCCCGUCCGCGGAGACCCGGCGUGAAAGGUUGGUGCGUUUCCCCCUGACUUCUUUUUUGUCCGUGGCCCAGUGGCGUCUUCAAGUCUGAGCUGCAAGGUUACUGAUUUGCAGGCUGCAUGUUAAGGCAGCCCAUGUAAGUAAUUUCUGCGGGCACCCCAGCAAAGGAGAACAAAUCGCUGACAAAGGCGAGCGCUUUCGAUUCAGCGGCGUCGUUAAGGCAACCCCGAAGUAUUCCUCCUAUAAUAAGUUCCACUUCAAAGGGUUUCUCAUUCAGCGGUGACUGCUUCGCACUUUUAUUAAGUCCGGGCUUUUUCACUCGGAGGAAUCAUCUGUUUGGUUAUUUUUCAUCGUGUUUAUUUUUCACCAUUCACACAGUACUUGUAUUAAAUAAACAAAGAACAAUCGCUCUGCAAAUAAAAGUACUUAGG
ensembl:lncRNA